AGUGAGGAUGAGGGACUUCACCCACCAACCACCACAGCCAGCCCAAGUCAGUGAUAGUGAGGAUGAGGAUCUGGACUUCGAGGGGUUUGACGAUGAGGCCCUGCUAGCCUCUGUGGUGGAUAGAGAGAGAAGUAAGGGCCAAUAAUCUGCCCUCUGCCUCGAACCAACCCCCCAUCCCGGUGUGCCCAGCCAUCUCUUCUACUAACCAGUGGGCUAUACACCAAAUGGGUGUGGCAGGGAUGGACACCUACAAUCGCCAUCAUCUUCAGGUGCUUCAGUAUAAACACACCUGCCCGUCCUGCUGGUGAUAAGCUUGAAAAGGAUAAAAGGUGUGUUUUGGGCAAGAGAAGCAAGAGGGAGGAAAACACCUCCAAGUCAGUCUGCAAGCAGUGUCGUCGGACCUGUGUGUAGGACCCACUACUGUCCUGUCUCCUUUGAUUGCAUCGUCUGAAAGAGACUCCAGAAGACCUAGACAUGGAUGAGGCACCACUUCCAGUCCUUUCAACAGGGCCAUAUGGAGCUGGGCCUGACACACGGACUCCACCAGACUUACCACCCUUACACUAAGUCACCCCUCUACUCGGUACAGUGUGAGCCUGGGACCUGCGAAAAAACCUCGAUGAGGUAAAAAGAGUAAUUUUCGGAUACGGCAGCAGCCUGAGUCAAACACUCUACAUCUCUCUCCUCCAAGUAUACCCAAAUAUCCAAUGUUACUGCCCUCUUAAACUGCUUCAGUAAUAUUAAUUCUACUAAUGUUUCACGAGACACAGCUCAGGCAGCCUUAAACCAUCUCAGCCCAAACUUCCUAACCUUAUAUGCUAGUUCAAUAUCGCUUUCAUUAUCUUGUUUCCUCACUGCUGUCUAUAAAAUUCAGAGGUCAGUUGGUAAGCUUUAAGUAUAGUUUCCUACUUAUAGUCUUUACUUUGUGCCACUUCCAGUGCUUUAAAGGCUGACCUAGCUUUUCCACUCAACACUGACUGUAGUAAUACAGGCCAAUACUCGUUAGGCCACUCUAACAACUAAACAAUCUUUUAAAAUUGUAAGAAAAAUUCUUCAGGAUCAUAUUCAUCAAACCUAGGAACUAACCUUGAUUGUUUAGACAUAAAACAAUGGGGUUCAUAAUUUCAUUAUUCAAAUGUCUUCUUGCUCUAUGCUGGGCUUUCUUUUCUAAUUCAAGCUGAAAUUUUUGCUCCUCUAAUUUUGCGUCCCUUUUCUUUUCUUUCAUAAGCAACUCAUGAGCUCUUUUCUCUCUAUUUGCUUCCAACUUUCCCCUCUCUACUUCCAACUUUUCCCUCCCUAACUCCAGUUCCAUUAUCCUAACAGGCUGAUUCUUAGAAUCAUGCCAUAUGUUCUUUGACUUCCAUUUUUUAUUCACGGUUUCUGUGCUGGUUCAUAUUUAUUUACUAAAGUGGUUAAUGUUUUAAAGCAAAUUAUAUUGAAAUAUGAAUGGCA
rnacentral:misc_RNA from 1 species